UUCACAGCAAGAGGGCUUCUCACGGAGAUGGAAUUGCUCGUCCAGAUGAGCUCUCCAAAUGCCCAUUUCUUGGAAAGAUUUUGAAGAGGUACGAACGUCAGGGUGUAGGCGAUCUUCUGUCCGGUGGCAUUGAACGCCAGCGUUCCAGGCGAUACGAUCAGCUCGAUUCCGAGGGGCGGGGAUCCGAUUGCUCGGUACACGGAUUUUGGAGCUCCUACAUUGGUCACUGUUCUUACCACGCUGGUCUGGUUCUUGAGCUCCGGGAUUGUCACUGACGGAUAGUUUAACUUUGGUGCUCCAGGCGAUUCGGGACACCUUACGGUGCGACCAGAGAUCACAGCGAUUUGCGUGGCGUUGUAUCCACUCGCGCAGAGAUGGAGG
rnacentral:lncRNA from 1 species